rnacentral:rRNA from 1 species
UACGUAGGGUGCAAGCGUUAAUCGGAAUUACUGGGCGUAAAGCGUGCGCAGGCGGCUUUGCAAGACAGAUGUGAAAUCCCCGGGCUUAACCUGGGAACUGCAUUUGUGACUGCAUGGCUGGAGUGCGGCAGAGGGGGAUGGAAUUCCGCGUGUAGCAGUGAAAUGCGUAGAUAUCAGGAGGAACACCGGUGGCGAAGGCAGCCUUCUGGGCCAACACUGACGCUCAUGCACGAAAGCGUGGGGAGCAAACAGG